rnacentral:lncRNA from 1 species
CCUGUAAUGACUUGUUUAUUGGCCUUUUGACUCAAAAUAACCAGUGUCAAUUAAAACAAUGGAAGAGGAUGUUCAAAGGUGCUAUAAUUGCCAAUUAGUAUCCUUAAUGACAAUAUUAUCAAGUCGGCAGAGGACCCUUUACAAUGCCCUUUACAAUAAAUUAAUUAAUGACAGGUGCAUAGGUACACACAAUAUUAUUAACU